rnacentral:rRNA from 1 species
CGAGCGGCGGACGGGUGAGUAAUGCUUAGGAAUCUGCCCAGUAGUGGGGGAUAGCCCGGGGAAACUCGGAUUAAUACCGCAUACGCCCUUUUGGGGAAAGCAGGGGAUCUUCGGACCUUGCGCUAUUGGAUGAGCCUAAGUCGGAUUAGCUAGUUGGUGGGGUAAAGGCUCACCAAGGCGACGAUCCGUAGCUGGUCUGAGAGGAUGAUCAGCCACAUCGGGACUGAGACACGGCCCGAACUCCUACGGGAGGCAGCAGUGGGGAAUAUUGGACAAUGGGCGCAAGCCUGAUCCAGCCAUGCCGCGUGUGUGAAGAAGGCUUUCGGGUUGUAAAGCACUUUCAGUGAGGAGGAAGGCCUCAAAGUUAAUACCUUUGAGGAUUGACGUUACUCACAGAAGAAGCACCGGCUAACUCCGUGCCAGCAGCCGCGGUAAUACGGAGGGUGCAAGCGUUAAUCGGAAUUACUGGGCGUAAAGCGCGCGUAGGUGGUUGAGUAAGCGAGAUGUGAAAGCCCCGGGCUUAACCUGGGAACGGCAUUUCGAACUGCUUGGCUAGAGUGUGGUAGAGGGUAGUGGAAUUUCCUGUGUAGCGGUGAAAUGCGUAGAUAUAGGGAAGGAACACCAGUGGGCGAAGGCGGCUACCUGGACCAACACUGACACUGAGGUGCGAAAAGCGUGGGGAGCAAACAGGAAUUAGAUACCCUGGGUAGUCCCA